rnacentral:miRNA from 1 species
GCAGACACAUUCCAGCCUAUAAGCAGCAGACCCUCCCUCCCAGACCCUCCCACCUCCUGGACAGCUCACUAAGAAUGCAGCUUCACAAUGAAUGUAAAAUGGAUGCUGUCCAGGAGUUGGGAGGGUCUGGGAGGGAGGGUCUGCUGCUGAUUGGCUGGAAUGUGUCUG